rnacentral:lncRNA from 1 species
CUCGAUCCAACUACGUCCACCCAUUUUCCUCUGGAAAGUGCUUGGAGAAAGCCCCAGUCCCAAGCCCAGCCCAGCUGUCCUCAGCAGAGGGACACAGCUCCACCUCCAUCCCAGCCCUCUGCCUCUGCAAGGCUUCCCCUGGCAUGAAGUGACAGGAAUAGGACAGGACGUGCUUGAACUUGAGAAAAUUCCUCGUGUGUCUAAAGACUAGUAGUGUGGGCGCUCAUUGAGAGGCUUGUAACCAAUGCAGGCC